AGACAUCAGAUAAAUCUGUGCUU
rnacentral:miRNA from 1 species